GGCACGCAGGUCCCGCCUCCUGAGGACGGGUGAGUUCGCUGCUACCUGAGAUAGUGGUCGGGAGAGUUUGAGGGUUUGCGAAAGAGUUUACUGAUCGAUCCGAAUAAAAGUGAAAUGUGUGGUCGGGCGCGGUGGCCCACGCCUGUAAUCCCAGCACUGUGUGAGGCGGGGGCGAGCGGAUCACCUGGGGUCAGGAGUUCGAGACCAGCCUGGCCAACAUGGCGAAACCCCGUCUCAAUUAAAAAUACAAACAUUAGCCGGGCAUGGUGGCGGGCGCCUGUAAUCCCAGCUACUCGCCUGUAAUCCCAGCUGAGGAAGGAAAAUCGCUAGAACCCGGGAGGCGGAGGCUGCAGUGAGCCGAGAUCUUGCCAUUGCACUCCAGCCUGGGCGACAAGAGCGAAACUCCGUCUCAAAAAAAGAAAGAAAAUAAAAAGUGAAAUGUGGAUGUAACAACGCACUUUUAAAAAAAGUCUAAACAUCUGAGGAAUGUGUCUGUGCUUGCAGUGUCCAGCCAGCACAGAGACUGCACUCAAGGGAUGUGGGAACGGCUGAUUGAACGUGAACUGCGGUCAUUAAAUCUUUUAUGUCUGUGUUAAUAUCUACAAAUAAGCCUUAAUUUCUGUAGUUUCUGCAUAUCUCACACGGUUCCUGGCAAAUUGAAGAGUGUUUCAUGAAUUCAGGACUUUAUUGUGUUUGCUGUGAAUCAGUUUGUUUUGUACUGACGAUGAUGUUGGCUAACUCCCUUGUAACUAGUACUUAUUUGAAAUAAUGUCCUCGGGAUUAUUUUAAGCAAUGUUUAAGUAUGAAAUCAUUUCAUUCUCCUAACAUCUCAAGGAAUAUACUAUUAUAUUCUACUUUACAAAAGGGGAAACUGAGGAACGGGGAAGUUAAGUGGAAGCUAAGUGGAAGAAUCCAGAUAAUUGACCUCUCCUUCUAUUGGUAUGCAAUUGCUAGAGCAAUGAUAGUCCUCCGGUAGAGCCUUAGACAUUGUGUUUAUUGCAUUCCUGUUCCACCCACUGCAUUCCGGAUACUCCAACUUACUUCCAACACACAUAUGCAGGCGUCUCUAAAAUUCCGGAGAUAUGGUCACCAAUUAUUUUUAUGUGCGACAUGCUCAAAUCUUAAUAUAGUAAACGCUUGUAUAUUCAUAAACCAGCUUAAUAAAUGAAACAUUACCAUUCCUGUUGAAGAGCUUUGUGUAACCACCUUCCCAAUCACGACUACUCUCUGACUCUGAGAUAACUGCUCUUCUGAACUUGGUAUUCAUCGUUGCAAUGUAUGUCUUUAUAUUUCUGCUACAUAUGUAAGUAAGCAGUAUAUAACAUUCUAUAUUUUCUUUUCCUACUUUACUUAUCGUUACCUUUACUAGGUCCAUCCGUGUUGACAUAUAGAGAUAUUCAUUUAUUUUCCCUGUUGUUAUAUGGGAGUUCCAUGUAGAAACAUACAGUAAUGUGUCUGUUUUUCUGUUGAUGGUAAUUUAAAUUGUUUCCAACUUUACGAUUUCUUUGUUGCUCUAUCCAUUUUCUUUCUAGUCUCCAGCAUCAAUUAAUGUAGUGUCCAUUACCUUUUUAAAGCUCCCUCCUCCCUGUUUCCCAUGAAGCCACCUGAUUUCUUUUUCUUUACCUCUCGAAUUUCUUCUUCUCAGUCUCAUUCUUUGGCUUCUCUUGCAUAUCCACUCUAAAUAUUGCUGUUCGUCAGGUUUCUACCCUCAGCUUUCACCCCUUCUGACAUUUUACAGUUUCUCUGGGUGUUCUUGUCUUCUGCUCAGCCUUAACUUCCCCACUCUAGGCAGAUUACUUCUAACACAGAUAGAUCUCUUCAUCCAUUAAAUUGCCCCCUAGAAAGCCAAGAUUUCUCACUGCCCUCAGUGUCAGAUCUAUGUCACGUAGCUUGACAUACAAGCUCCUUCAUAAUUUGACUAUCUCUGUUGUCUCUCUCCUUGCUACAUUCUUCCUGGCAUGUCUUCUCUAGAUACACAGAACUGCUUGAACUUUCUGAUGUCCUAUUGUUGCUGUCUGGGUCUUUUCAUAGGCUGCUCCUUUAUUUAGUCGGCUAACUUCCAUUCUUUUCCCAGCCUUGGUUUGGGGCACCUUCCCUAGAAAGCCUGUUUCUCUCUAACCCUCAUCUCUCCUCCCUUGCUUGUUUAGCACCUCACUGCUGUGCUCCCUGACAUCCCUGUAGCAUAACACUUAGAACAUCCAAUGAUAAACAUCUUUUUAGAUGGUUUUCCUUCCAGAGUCUGAAAGCCCUUUGAAGGCAAGAACCAUGUCUCAUUCAUGCUUACAUUCCCUAUGCCUAGCACAGUGUUAGCACAGAGAAAGUGCUAACUAAUGACUAAUUGUAGGAACAUUCUUCCCUAUUAUCCCCGCAAGCUAUUGCCAGCACCCUGUAGCCACUGCCUAUGAAUGCAGCUCAGAGAAGUCUUCCUCAUAUUAAUAAUCAUUUAACAUAUUCAUUUAAAAUUUAUGUUUCCUGUGCUUACUUAUUUUUAGUGUGGCAAGAUUUCUUUCAAGGCUUGCCUGAUAAUCUCUUCUCUGCUUCAGUUAAAUUAUGACUUAAUAGUUGCUUCAAAAAAAGAAUGGCUCCAGUUCUCCUUUCAGCAUCUGGUGGGUUCACCCACACACUUCCCUGAACACUGAAUGAAAACUGUCUCUCUGUGGCACCUCUGGGAUCCUCUGACAAACCAGGCUCACACCUGGCCCAAGACAAAAUGCCUUGGCUUCAUUGCAGGUGCAUGACUUGGGAGGGACGUUCUACUGGGUGGUAUAAGAGAUGAGCUCUCCUCCUUCAGGGGAUCUGGUGAGUGAGUGUUUGAGUAGAAUACAGGUAAAUGGUAUCAUUUAAGCACUUGUUCACUGUACUCUACUCCCAGUCAAUCCAGACUGUUAUACCCCGACUUCCUAGCCCACUUACCUUUCCAUAGAACCACAAUGCCAUAUCAUCUGCUUAUCUCUAACAUUCAUCCUCUCUGUACUUGCUUCCAGAGCAGUGAGGUUUGAUGGAUCCAGGCACAGAGCAAUGUCAACCUGGCCAACAACAUAAGCUGUCUUAUGUUAACGGAUGUGUGGUCCCCAUUUCUUUUUCCCAUUACCUUCCUUGUGGCUACUCACAGUGGUUGUUCCAAUUCCUUCUCCUUCUUUCUUUUCAUGUUGCUGCUUGAUAUGGUUUGGCUGUGUCCCCACACUUUACCUAGAAUUGUAAUAAUCCCCACAUGUCAAGGGCAGAGCCAGGUGGAAAUAAUUGAAUCAUGGGGGUGGUUCCCCCCAUACUGUUCUUGUGAAAGUGAAUAAGUCUCACGAGACCUGAUGGUUUUAUAAAUCGGAGUUCCCCUGCUCAAGCUCUCUUGCCUGCCGCAUGUAAGACGUGCCUUUGCUUCUCCUUUGCCGUCUGCCAUGAUUGUGAGGCCUCCCCAGCCAUGUGGAACUGUGAGUCCAUUAAACCUCUUUCCUUUAUAAAUUAUCUAGUCUCAAGUAUGUCUUUAUUAGCAGCAUGAGAACAGACUAAUACACCAUAACACUUCAUUCUACAUCCCUGAACAGGACACCUCUUACUUCAUCAGGGAAAACAGUUCCAAAUGUAAACUUUCUUGUCUUCUUUCUUCUGACUUCAGCUGCCUUCCAAUCCAUGCUCCACACUGCAGCCGCCACCACCUCCUCUGCAAAUCCUUCUAUGACUUCCCUUUGCUCUCGGGAUAAAGACAAACUUCACAAUGGUCUCAAAUAGUGCUCCACUCAAUGUGGAGUCCACAGACUAGCUAUUGAUUUUAGAACUGUUACUGUUCUUAUAAGAUGAGGAGCUCAAUUCAGAAUGUAAAUCACACAUGCACUAAACAUACUGCUUAGAUUUUUUUCAUGAAAAGAGCAGUGUAUUGCGUUACAUUCUAGAACAAGCUCCUUAUCUCAUUGUCCAGUGGCACUUUGAGUAGCACUAGUCUCCAGGGUGCUGCAUCCUCAGGGCAUGAUGGAGUAUGAUCUCUGCAGCUUUGUCUUGUGUCCUAGUCUCUUUCAUUCUCAGCAGUCCAGCCUAUAGUAGUCUCCUUUCAGGCCUGCACACUUAGAAUAAACCACUGUCCAUGCUGUCCGCUCUGCAUGAGAUGUCCUUCCCUUCAUUCUGCACCUAAUUAGUGCCUCCGCAUCUUCUCAUCUCAGCUCAUGUGUCACUUUGUUGAGGAAGCAUUUCCUCCCUCCCUGACUCAUCACAUCCCCUAUCAUAAGCUCUCAUAAUACCACGUAACUCUUGUUGAUAGCCUUCAUUCUAUUUCGCAUUCAUUUUGAAAUAAAUGUUUACCAUAUGGUCCUUGAGGAAGGGAUCGUGUCUGUUUUGCUUAUUCUGUUGUUUUUGUUUUGUUUUUAUUUUUUCCGAGACGGAGUCUUGCUCUGUCACCCAGGCUGGAGUGCAGUGGGGUGAUCUCGGCUCACUGCAACCUCUGCCUCCCGGGUUCAAGCAAUUCUCCUGUCUCAGCCUCCCGAGUAGCUGGGAUUACAGGUGCAAGCCACCACGCUCGGCUGAUUUUUGUAUUUUUAGUAGAGAUGGGGUUUUGCCAUGUUGGCCAGGCUGGUCUCGAACUCCUGGCCUCGUGAUCUGCCCACCUCAGCCUUGCAAAGUGCUGUGAUUACAGGUGUGAGCCACCAUGCCUGGCCUGAGCCACCACACCCUGCCACUUAUUCUUGCAUCCCCAGUAGCUAGCCCAAUUCCUGACAAUAUUUGUUAAAUGAAUAAAUGGAUGUAUCCAACCAAUGACCAAGACUUCACAGUUUAUCCUUUGUAGCAUCUCUCAUACUCUUCUUCCCUUCCUUCUAUUUGCAUUGCCAUUAUUCAGUUUUACCAUUUAUUAUUUUACACAUGAAUUAAAAUUAUUGCUUCAGAGAAUAGCAUGUCUUCCUACAUUCAGGCUCUCCCUACAUCCCUUAUUACACCUCCCAUGGUUCUUUGCUUAUGCCAUUCCUUUGUUCCAAACCUUCCGUGACAUGCACUGCCAACAGAAUGUAGCCCAGAUUCUUAAGAUUGACAUCCAAGACCCUCCAUAAUCCGACUUUUAUUGAACUUUCCAGGCUUUUGUAUCUCAUGGGUCUAAUUAUAUCUACAUCUUUGUUCCCUUCCAGCUUUCUAUAAUACUAUACAUUCUUCUGGUUGCUACCCUUAUAUCUCAUUUUCUGAAAAAAUUUUACUGUGUAUCCAAGCAAGAUGUGGUUACCUUCUGUCUUCUGGACUUGCAAAUGAGUGAGUGGAACACAUCUGAAACUGCCACGAGGCAUCUCUGUCUUAUUUCCCUCUCUGGACUCUCAACUCUCUGAGAGGUUUGAUCUCUGUGUUCUGUGCAGUCCUCAGUAUGGUAUUAUAUACAGAGUCAGCCUGAUUAGUAAGUAUUUCAUGAAUGAAUGAAUGAAUCUCUGUGAGAAGGUAUUCUCUGGCUCUUUCUCUAUUUUUUUUACGUAGCAGUUUCUGUAGUUCGGGCUAUGUGUGGACAGUGUGCUGCUUCAUAGCAACACAAUGCCCAAACUCACAGACAGUUGCAAACAGCUAAGAGCAUUCCUUCGCCACGUUAGAACAGCUUAUUUUCCCUCUCAAGUCGAGAGAGCAAGAUCCAGUAUUUUUUUUUUAGAAAGAUCCAAAUUUUUUAAGUGCCUUUGUUCACUUGGCAUUUAGAGGCACCGGGUGCACCAAGGCUAUACACUCAGUAAAUGCCCAUUUUAAUUAUAAUUUUAAUUUAUAAUUAUAAUUAUAAUUUCCCCUGUGAAUAACUUCUAUCUACAAAGAUAUUCCUAUACAGUUUUUUUAUCCUUUUAGAUUUAUUUUUUAAAAAAACAUUUUAUACAAGGAGAAACUGAAUAGAAAUAAUUAUUAUAUUUAACAAGAAUUUAUGAAGAUGUUUUUAUGGCACAUUACCAAAUUUAUUUGGAGAAUCCUUUAGCGUAUGAAAUGUUGAGGAGGUGCCAAGAGUUUAAGAAUUCUCAAAAGUUUAAGAAUUCUCAAAAUUUCUAAGUACACAGUUGCUUCACAUAUAGGCAUGGUGCUGACAACCUAUGUAAUAAUGAUUUGGAAGAUGUAUUAGUUAGUCCUUGUUGCAAUAAUGCUGUGGAACAAACCACCCCAAAAUGCAAUGACAUAUAAACAGUAAGAAUUUGUUUUUCUUAAAUCUGUGGGUUAGCUGUAGUGACUCUGCUUGAGACCCCCAGAUAGCUGGGUUUUGCUCCAUGCUUUGGGUCUGUCUUAGUUCUGUUCGCACAUCUCACUCCAGGGUCUAACUAUGGGGCAACAACUCCCAGGGCAUGCAGUAGCUGAACCAUACUCAUUAAACACAAGAGGUGAGCCCAAACAUGCAAGCCCAUUUAAAGCCUUUGCUGGCAUUACAUCUGCUCACACUCCAUGGGCCAAAACCUGUCACAGAUAUAAUUUGUAUUUACAGUAUGUGUGGAUAUUUCAAGUGGCGUGAACUCACAGAAGAAUAUUGUAUCUUGGACAAUGUUACCAUAACCUUUUCAAACGUAUUUGCAAACUUGACAAACUUGGUGUAAGCUUUUUCACUUUUGAAAACGUUUUGAACUUGUGGAAGAAUUUCUAUGGGGAAAGAGAGAAAUAUACUUUGGAAUUCAACUAUUGCUAUCACAGUGUUGGGAAAUUCACUGACACCAGUUUGUAACUUGAAUCUACAGGAAGAAAUGAAGAGAGCCAAAAAUGACAACAAAUGGAUUAACCCAACGAACUCCAUAAAUAUUUAUUUUUUCCCCUUUCUUUUCUCAGCUUCUUUAAAAGAUGUAAGAUGAUAUAAAGUAAUAAUAAUAACAAUGUACUGUUGGAUAUGUAAGAUAUAUAAAUGUAAUAAUGGCAAAAAUGGUGGGAGGGCGUCAGGCGUCAUGGCUCAUGCCUGUAAUCUCAGAACUUUGGGAGGCUGAGGCAGGCAGAACACUUGAGCCCAGGAGUUCAAGACCAGCCUAAGCAACAUGGGGAGACCCUGUCUUUCCAAAAAUACAAAAAUUAGCCCAACAUGGUGGCGUACACCAGUAGUCUCAGCUACUUGGGAGGUGGGAGGAUUGCUUGAGCCUAGGAGGUUGAGGCUGCAGUGAGCCAUGAUUGUGCCACUGCACUCCAACCUGGGUGACAGAGUGAGAUCUUGUCUUUAAAAAAAAAAUGGUGGGAGAGAAUGGAGCCAUAUAGAAUACAGUUUCUAUAUUUCACUGGAAUGAAGUUAGUAUAAAUCUAAAGUAGAUUCUGAUAAGAUGAAUACCAUAAGCUUUAGGGCAACUAUUAACUAAAGAAAUACAAUUAGAGAUUAUUAACACAAUUACAUGUUACACUAGAAAAUAUCCACUCAAUAUAAAAGGAAACAGGAAAGGAAGAAUACAGGAACAAUAAUAAAGAAACCUGUAGAAAACAAAAGGCAAAUGACAGACAUAAAUCCUACCAUAUCAAUAGCAAAAUUAAAUGUGAAUGCAUAAACAAUUGAAUCAAAAUGCAGAUAUUGUCAAACUGGAUUUUUAAAAGAUCAAAAUAUAUGUUAUCUGUAGAAGACACACAUUACAUUCAAAGAUACAAAUAUAUUCUAAGUAAAAGGGUGAAAAAAUAUAUAUCAGGCAAGUGGCCAAAAUAAGAAUGCUGGAAUUGCUAUACUAAUACCAGAAAAACAUAGAUUUUAAAAUGAAAAAUAUUAUUAGCUAUAAAGAGGAACAUUUUAUAAUUAAAGAAGAUCACUCCAUCAGGAAACACAAAAAUUGUAAACAUAUAUGCACAUAAUAAGACAGUACCAAAAUACAUGAAGACCACUAACAGAAUAGAAGGAUGAAAUAGAUAAUUCAAUAUUAGUUGAGGACGUCAAUAUACCACCGUUAGGGCUAGGCAUGGUAGCUCACACCUGUAAUCCCAGAGAUGUGAAAGGCCGAGAUGGGAGGGUUGCUUGAGGUCAGGAUUUGGAGACCAACCUGGGCAAUAUAGUGUCAUCUCAUCUCUUAAAAAAAAAAAAAAAGCCAGGUGUGGUGGUGUGUACCUGUAGUCCUAGCUAGUAGGAAGGCUGAGGCAGGAAGAUUACUUGAGCCCAGGAGUUCAAGGCUGCCACUACACACCAGCCGGAGUGACAGAAUGUGACCCUGUCUCUAAAUAAAUAAAUAAAAUAAAAAUUAAAAAUACACCGCUGUAAAUAGAUGAUAGAUCAAGUAGGCAGAAGAUUAACAAGGUUAUAAAAGACUUGAACAACACAAUAAAUUAACUAGACCUAGCAAACAUUUAUAGAACGCUCAACCCAACAAUAGCAAAAUAUUCUUCUCAAGUGCAUAUAAAACUUUCUCCAGGAUAGAUCAUAUGCUAGGUCUUUAAAAAAGAUAUUGAAACCCUCAUACAUUGCUGGUGGAAAUGUAAAAUGGUGCAGCCAUUUUGCAGGACAGUUUGAGGGUUCCUCAAAAUGUUAAACAUAGACUUACCCUGACCCAUCAUUUCAACAGCUGGAUGUAUACUCAAGAAAAAUAAAAACCUGUGUCCACACAAAAACAUAUACAAAGAUGUUCAUGGAAGUGUAUUUAUAAUACCAAAAAGUGGAAAUAACCCAAGUGUCAAUCUACUGAUGAAUAAACAAAAUCUAUCAAUGAAAUAUUAUUCAGCCAUAAAAAGAAAAUAAAGUGUUGAUAUAAGUGACAGCAUGGAUGACUCAUGAAAGCAUUAUGCAAAGUAAAAGAAGUCACUCACUGAAGAACAUGCUAUAUGAUUCCAUGUAUAUGAAAUGCCCAGAAUAAGCAAAUUUCUAGAGACAAAAAGUAGAUGAGUGGUUGUCUAGGGCUGAGAAGGUUCCUGAGAAUGGGGAAUGAGUGUAAUGUUUUUCUUUAGGAGGAGGAUAAAAAUCUUCUAAAAUUGGAUUAUGGUAGUGGUUGCACAGCUUUGUGGAUAUAGUAAAAACCAUUGAAUUGUAUAUAUUAAAUAAAUAUAAUUAAGGUAUGUGAAUUAUAAUUCAAUAAAACUGUUAAAAUUACAAAUUUUGUGCUUUUCAAUUGGAAAAUUCAUCCAAAAUUACAAAUUCUUAAAAGAAUGCAACCUAGCUAGGAGUGGUGGUGGGCACCUGUAGUCCCAGCAACUUGGGAGGCUGAGGUGGGAGAAUCACCUGAGGCCAGG
rnacentral:lncRNA from 1 species